CCUACGGGAGGCAGCAGUAGGGAAUCUUCCACAAUGGACGAAAGUCUGAUGGAGCAACGCCGCGUGAGUGAAGAAGGGCUUCGGCUCGUAAAGCUCUGUUGGUAGUGAAGAAAGAUAUAGCUCGUAACUGGCCUUUUUUUGACGGUAAUUACUUAGAAAGUCACGGCUAACUACGUGCCAGCAGCCGCGGUAAUACGUAGGUGGCAAGCGUUGUCCGGUUUUAUUGGGCGUAAAGGUAGUGCAGGCGGUUCAAUAAGUCUGAUGUGAAAGCCUUCGGCUCAACCGGAGAAUUGCAUCAGAAACUGGUGAACUUGAGUGAAGAAGAGGAGGGUGGAACUCCAGGUGUAGCGGUGGAAUGCGUAGAUAUAUGGAAGAACACCAGUGGCGAAGGCGGCUCUCUGGGCUGCAACUGACGCUGAGGCUCGAAAGCAUGGGUAGCGAACAGGAUUAGAUACCCGGGUAGUC
rnacentral:rRNA from 1 species